rnacentral:rRNA from 1 species
GAUCCUGGCUCAGGACGACGCUGGCGGCGUGCCUAACACAUGCAAGUCGAGCGGAGACAUACGACUGCGUGGAAGUUUUCGGACGGACACAAAGAUGUAUGUUUUAGCGGCGGACGGGUGAGUAACGCGUGAGCAACCUGUCCUUCACAGGGGGAUAACACAGCGAAAGUUGUACUAAUACCGCAUGAGACCACGGUGAGACAUCUCAGAGGGGUCAAAGGAGCAAUCCGGUGAAGGGUGGGCUCGCGUCCGAUUAGAUAGUUGGUGAGGUAACGGCCCACCAAGUCGACGAUCGGUAGCCGACCUGAGAGGGUGAUCGGCCACAUUGGGACUGAGACACGGCCCAAACUCCUACGGGAGGCAGCAGUGGGGAAUAUUGGGCAAUGGGGGGAACCCUGACCCAGCAACGCCGCGUGAGGGAAGAAGGUUUUCGGAUCGUAAACCUCUGUCCUUGGUGAAGAGUGAGAGACGGUAGCCAAGGAGGAAGCCCCGGCUAACUACGUGCC